GACGAUUGCCACUUGAUGUACACAUUCGAGAUGAAGUAGAUCGAGCAGGCGGUGACGACGAGAAAGGUCAGGAAAAAGUAGGCUCUGAAGCAGCAACAAAAUGGCGUCCAAUUAGUGUGCGGCAGUGUAGAGCUUCGGAGUGCUCGAGUGGGCAUUAAAUGUUUGUGGUGAGAGCGUCAGCGAUACCGUCCCGAUGUACUUUAGCCCGUGGAUGGUGGUGUUGAGGCAGUACUCGCGAAGAUUCUCCGUAAACGAGACACGCUCCCUGUUGAUUGUCGCUUUGAUGCGUUGCUCUGCGGAGCGGAGGAUGCAUAUUUUGAAGCAAAGUUCAUAGCAGCUCAGGACACAUCAAUCGAGCUUUUUUGAAAAUCCAAAAUUCUACCUCCACUGAAAACUUGUCCGUUUUUCGAUGCCCAAUUCCCAACAGUGACCGUCCGGAUGGCGUGUG